rnacentral:lncRNA from 1 species
AAAAGCAAAUACCAAAGUCAAUAUUUUCCUUAUGAAAAAGCUUAUAUGUAAAACACACAAGACUAUUAAUAUUUAACUCAUUCACAAAACUUCAAAAUACAAUUUCAUCAAGAUGAUCUCUACCAACAAUUUUCCUUUAAAGAAGUUUGCAAAUUUCAGAAUGGUUUAAGUUGACAUACACCGGACCCGUUAAACUUUGAAAGAAACUACUAAAUUAUUGCUUUAAACUGGAA